GUGACAAUGAACAGUCCUCGAGUCUGG
rnacentral:piRNA from 1 species